UGAUCUCGGAUGGGAGAGACGCUUCGCCGCCAGCGGAGCGCGCCGAAGGAGCAACCCCCCGGAAACUCUCAGGCAUCCGCACCAUCCGAGGGAG
rnacentral:ncRNA from 2 species